CUCACUGACAGCCGCUAGAGGAGCACACUGAACGUCCAUAGGAAAGCAUUGAGUAAUGCUUUCCUAUGGGCGGUUUGAAUGCGUGCGCGGUCGCAUUCGGAGCUGAGAGGCUGAGGGAUCCCCAGCGCCAAGGGAGUCCGGCGCUGGAGAAAGGUAAGUGCUGAAGACACACACACACUUACAGACGCAUACACACUAGCUAACAGACACACACAUUUACUGACAGAGACACAGUCAGCGACAGACAUA